UACGUAGGGGGCAAGCGUUGUCCGGAUUUAUUGGGCGUAAAGAGCGUGUAGGCGGCCAUACAGGUCCGUUGUGAAAACUGGAGGCUUAACCUCCAGACGUCGAUGGAAACCGUAUGGCUAGAGUCCGGAAGAGGAGAGUGGAAUUCCUGGUGUAGCGGUGAAAUGCGCAGAUAUCAGGAAGAACACCCGUGGCGAAGGCGGCUCUCUGGGACGGUACUGACGCUGAGGCUCGAAAGCGUGGGGAGCAAACAGG
rnacentral:rRNA from 1 species